AUGUUCAAAACGGCGGCCAUGUGAAUAGAUAAAAACGGCCUUCUAAACCUACCAGUAGGUGUAGCAGGCCCCUUCUAACCUAUAUCUAUGAGGCUGAUAACCACUGAUAACAAUUCAUUCAAUCAAGUGAUAACAUUCAAAAUGAAACAAGCAGAGUAGCUACAUUCUGGUCUAAAGAAAUUACUUUGCGUCCAAGAAGAAAGAACUCUGUGGCUGAAACAUAAGUAAUAUUGCAUGAUAACGAUUUAGAUUUAGUGGAGAUAGAUCACAAAGAGAGUUAGGAAUGUAAAGUUUUAGCGGUAACCAUCAUAGAAGUUCCCCAUCUGUCUACAUCUAGCCUGCAGCUGCUGCCUGUAAAACACAAGUGAACAGAUAUGAUAUAAAGCAUUAAACAAGGUUUACAAAGAGCUGAUUGUUCAUUGUAGCAUUUGAAAGCUAAAAAAAAACAUUCCUCUCAAGGGUGGAGCAGCAUGGCAACAGUGUUAUGGCAUGCAUGCGGUGAAUGAUGGGUCUUCUAUGAUGGCUACAGCUGACCCUUGCAAGAAAAUGUUCUUCUCCAAUUGUUUGGAAGAGAGACAAAAUAUAUGCCCGCAUUGCCAGCAGGAUUAAAAGUGAUUAAUGCUUGUUUAUUAAAAAUUGAUUGUGUAAUAUUUCUCAUCAAAAGCUUCUUGUUCCCCCGUCUAAAACUGUUUGUGACAUUUUUGUAACUUUGGAGGCAAACGACUGAGCUAAAAGAUGGUAUAGUUGACAUAUUCAGCACCAAAAAUGUACGUUUUUGCAUUCACCUAUAUUUUGAUUGUGUCUGCCACAUGGAUGUUAAUUAUGUACUACUAUCAAUUGUAAUGUAAGUAGAGGCCUUAAACACACCGAUGUACAUUUAGUCAGGGCUAAGGACUGAGAAUUGUCACAAAGUAAAUCAAAAUGACGCAAAAAAAAGUUUUACAGUGUCACCAUUUUAACCCAUCACCGAAAGUGAUGACGUUAAUGAAUUUCUGAUAUACUGAUAUUAUAACUGACUAUUUGUGUAUUCUCCCCACUCCUUGGUGUGGGCUUAAUUCAACAAACUGAGCAACAACAAAAAAACAUUUUUGCGGAGUAGAUACUCAAACAUUCUGACCUGUUUCUUAACAAGACCUAUUUUCUAAACUUAGAAAAAGUACACUGUUGUUUCUUUAUUGAUCUUUCAAUGCAUAUAAUGGGACUUUUUAAUUGAGUAGAGUCAAAUGAAAACAACAAAAGAACAUUCUUAAUCUAGCCAUGUGCACCAUCUGUAAGAAUUGUACUAGAGUCCAGAUGAGGUACUUUUAGGUUGACAUUCUGCAAAACCAGACCAUUAUCCAUUAGUACUACUAUAUCAUCUGGCACCAUAAGGGGCCAUUGCCCAAUAUAUAUAGAGAAAGCGCUAUAGGGACAGUUGUGUUUCAUACAGUAUAUUGAGCUAAAUGCGUGUUCAGCUGUUCAACUUUUAGAUGCAAAACAAAGGUAACAUGUCGUCUCUGACAAUGCAAUUCAAUGAUGGAUAGCCUUUUUCUUAAUAUGGAAACAUCUGUAACUUUGAGUGUUUGCAUUCCAACCCUCUGGCUAUAUUUACUUGUGUACAAAAUUGUAACUAUUGUAAGUUGUCUGAUUUAAAAAACAAAAACAAAAAAAACAGUAGCAUUUACAUGGUUUGAAGCAGGUGUACCAUUGGUUCCAAAAGUAUUUUUCCUCACUGUAAAUGAAUUUAAACAUUAAUUUUUAAGGACAACAGAAAAUAUGUUAAGGCAAUCAAAACCCUUUGACUUUCAGGCUUCCUUGGGUUUCCACAGGUUUGGGCCAGUAAAGCCGAGCUGGCUGACUUCUUGUUGCCUCUGUGCACACGAGAAAGGCAUGAACAUAAGUUACUGACGCAGCUUUUAGAGAUUUUAAAAUUUUAUUUGACCCAAAAGGCUCAAAUUCUGAAUAACAAGAGUUUUUGUUACUGCCAUUAAACCAGUGCACAACUGAGUAGUUUAUUCCCGGAGCAAUGCAUCGUUUUUGUUAUUAAAGCCCCGGUAGCUUAUUGCAGGUGAAAAGGUGAUUGUAACCUUUUUCUUCAUUUAGAUUGAAGUUAUUAGACAACAACAGUGCCUCUGGUUCUCGAUGGAAUCAUGAACAAGAAGCACAUUUGCUUCUCUUCACGUUGUCACUUUUGCCACAUUUGCAUAAAUUGCAUAAAUUGCAUAAAGUAAACUUCACAACAAUUUGCAUCCUGUUGCAUCUCCAGUAAUUUUGUUAAUGUGUAUGAUUCACAUUACUGUCCUUACUGCAAUACAACUACAUUUUUGUGCGCAUAUAUGUGUGGUUAUUGUUGGUGUAAUCUGAGCCAACCUUGAUGCAAAAUGGCAGAAAAGUUUACUUUUUAAAGUUGUGUUGAGUUUAGGGAUGGCAUAUUUGUUAACCCUGAUUAUUCGCACAAAGAGUGUGCAGGCAAGGCAGGGAAGUUCCUGUCUGUUUUUGCAGAAUAUCAACCUAAGAAGUAUAUCUGGGUAGAAUUCCAUUUGAAGUUCUUCAGUUCCUUCUGAUACCGGAGCUUAAUUCGUCCAUAUCUCUUUCCUUUUCAAGUACAUGGGUUUUACUGAUUAGAAAUUACGAGAGCACUAUUUGUGUCCUUUUCUUUUAGAGUGACAGUGUGUACAUAUCUAGACACAUAUCAUAUCAUGUUCUCUCCGGGGUGAAGAGAUGGAGGAGUGGGAGGAUGAAAGGGUAGAUGCAGCUCCUCUGCGGCUGUUACGAAACGGUGGUGGUGGAUCCCAAAAGCAAUACAUCUCCUCCAGUCUGCUGUGCUGCAGAGGCAGUGGUUCCCAAAAUGUUUCCCUCAGAGGCCUUCGUCAACCCAAACCUCAUAAAAAUGUCCCUCUACAUGCCAUCUGGUAGAUCCUCUCAUUCAAAGCGUCCCACAUUACCACGUGUGAAAACAUUUUUAGGUUGGGUAACCCCUGUGGGUCAAAGUGCCACAUCAAAGUUGUGUUUCUCAACAUCAUUCCAUGUUAAAUUACCUCUCACCUAUGAGUUCACAUUUCAGUCACACAUUGCUGGUCAUGCAUUAUUGGUGUCAACUCAUUUGGGCUCCAAUCCAAAAUCUUCUAAAUAAAUCCUCCUUUUAUUUCUGUCAUGCCGGUUAAUGAUACAAAGUAAUUUUAAAAAACAGCAUUCACAGCCUUAAAUUCUCAUCCCUAAACCAUCCGAAGGCCCCUAAAAUAUAAGAAGGUGAUGUUUUGGUUUUGGGAUGCUAGAUGAGACAGUUUUACAGGCCUUCUCAUGCUGUCAGGAACAUGUGAUAUGGGCAACUUUUGGAAGCAAUGCUGAUGGAAAAUCAAUUUUCCUCAGUGAUAAGAAUGCAUCCAGAAAAGAUUUACUGUGUUUUAUUUUCCUCUGGUUAAACACAUUCAUCUCUUCAGUCUUUGAGUAUAGCUUCAUUGGAGCGACUACUGACUGACUUGAUCACCUAAUUUAAGGAUCUCAAACUACAAUUUACAAGUAUAUUGUAAUUUCUUAAAGUUUUCAAUACUUUUCAUCCCAUCUGUAGAUUUGCGGCACCAGCUAAUGUUAGCAAAGCAUUAAGCAGCCAUCGCCCAUCUGCGUUGCUUUCCAUUUGUUGCUCGUGUAUUACUGCCUUGAGGACCUGAAUGUUAUCAGAAGAGUGGCAAAGUGGUGUAACUAUAGUUUUAUUCACCGCACUGUCAUUUGCAGAUUCUUUGGCUAACUGUUAUAUUGUUGAGUAAAUGCACAAUUUGGUGUAUUGUUAUUCUAUUCCAGCUGUCAAUAAAAUAGUUUAACUCCAUCA